GUGGGGAAUAUUGGACAAUGGGCGAACGCCUGAUCCAGCCAUGCCGCGUGUGUGAAGAAGGUCUUCGGAUUGUAAAGCACUUUAAGUUGGGAGGAAGGGCAGUAAGCUAAUACCUUGCUGUUUUGACGUUACCGACAGAAUAAGCACCGGCUAACUUCGUGCCAGCAGCCGCGGUAAUACGAAGGGUGCAAGCGUUAAUCGGAAUUACUGGGCGUAAAGUGCGCGUAGGUGGUUUUGUAAGUUGGAGGUGAAAUCCCCGGGCUCAACCUGGGAACUGCCUCCAAAACUGCAUGACUAGAGUACGGUAGAGGGUAGUGGAAUUUCCUGUGUAGCGGUGAAAUGCGUAGAUAUAGGAAGGAACACCAGUGGCGAAGGCGACUACCUGGACUGAUACUGACACUGAGGUGCGAAAGCGUGGGGAGCAAACAGGAUUAGAUACCCGUGUAGUCC
rnacentral:rRNA from 1 species